CGGGCCAACAUUUUUUGUUUACUUUAUCAGCAACAAAUCAAAGCCGGUUAUACUAAGAAAAGAACGGCUCAUCUCUUAGAGAACAUGAUAGCUGCAUACAUGAAAAGCUUUCAAUGGAGAAGUUGUUACCACAAAAAUCUCAAAAAUGUCAUGCAAUACUUGGGUAACAGAGACAAGAGCUCAAACAAAGUUAUCCAGAAAUUGAGACAAAACUGCAAAAUUGUGCAAUGCAGUAAUCCCUUAGCAAUGACAGUUUUCAAAUCCAUGAAGAGUGGUUUUGUGAAAAAGGUUUAAGAUACAAUCUUGUGUGACAGAACUUUUGAAUUCAGAGACUGUUUGAACUUGUGUGAACUGGAACAAUAGUCUGACAUUUAUCUCUUCAAAGAGAGUUUCGGGUUUCACUUUAACAAUGUAUGGACCAUUGUUAGAGUUUGUCAACAAAUCCAGACACUCAAACUUCACCCGCCAAGGAGGGUGAAGUGCUGCAACAAGCAUGCACAGUGACAGCAUUAUCAACAGCAGUUCUGUGUCAAAGAUACAUGUAGUCUGCCUGCCCUAACAGUUGACUGUCAAAGAUCUCAAAUCUGCAGCUGCCAUUGACAACAGCUAAUUAAGCAUAUGCAGAAAAUCAGCAAAUGGGAGAAGAGACUUGUGUGAUAUGAAACCCAGUGUGAUGCCUACAAAGUCCGAGUAGUUCUACAGAUUGCAAGACUCACACAUCUACUGGACAGAACCUGUUCAAAAGUCAACUGUAUUGUGUUAUGGCAAAGCACUUUGAAAGCAUAAAAAAUAUUGCUUUUUCUAGCAUUUUGACUCAAUAAAUCACUCCAAAAGAAA